rnacentral:lncRNA from 1 species
CCCUCUUCUUUUAAAGCGGAUGAGUCUUUCCAAAUCUAUAACCAACGGCAGAGGGAGAGAAUAAUUUUACAGGGGUCAAACUGAUAACAGUCCUAUUUUACAUUGUUUCACUUGGUUUUGCGAUUGGAAUUAGCUCCAUAUUUCCUUUGCUACAUUGUAUUAGAAAAGAAGUUGGUUGACGUUUGACAGUUUGACAUAUGGUGUCCGCUUUCAUAUUCUGUCUGAAUAUCCUAACUAGCUAAUAAAUGAACAACUUACCACCUUAAUUUACUAAACCAUAUGAAGAAGCUCUCUCCCCAAGACUAUUAGUAGACAAAUCUCAUACU